CACGUAGGGGGCAAGCGUUGUCCGGAUUUAUUGGGCGUAAAGAGCUCGUAGGUGGUUCGGUAAGUCGGGUGUGAAGCCUCCAGGCUCAACCUGGAGACGCCACCCGAUACUGCUGUGACUGGAGUCCGGUAGGGGAGCGUGGAAUUCCUGGUGUAGCGGUGAAAUGCGCAGAUAUCAGGAGGAACACCGGUGGCGAAGGCGGGUCUCUGGGCCGAUACUGACGCUGAGGAGCGAAAGCGUGGGGAGCGAACAGG
rnacentral:rRNA from 1 species